ensembl:lncRNA
AGUGUUUAUAGGCUGCAGGCCUUGGCCCGGAAGCCUGAAACUCCUGCUUCCUCAAGGCAUCCGGUGGCCAGGUGGGGUGGAUCCAGGGCUGCAGGAUGCAGUGAGAAGACCCAGCUGGGCCCGAGACUUCCCUCUUUUCCUGAGGUGGAGAUCAGGCCUGCUAUUGCCCCAGAUGAAUUAGCAUCGGCAGGAUCCAGGAUUUAAGCCAAAGCAGCAAAGCAAUGAUGAGGGGAUUUCCGGCGCUGGCCAGCAGAUGGGGGCUGAAGAGAGGACCCAGGAACACUCCCAGGAUGGUUGAGACCAUUCCAACAUCGUCAACAUGACAGACGCAGGCCUGGGCUUGGCCAGGUUCACUAUUCGCUAGCUGUGUGGACCCACUGCUGAACAUUUCUGACCUGGUUUCCUCAUCUGUACACUAGGAGUGAUGCUCCCACUUUUACCAAAUGGAUGAAGGGCAAGGACAUAAUGAGGUCAACCGCCUAGCACAGAGUGGGUGCUUUGUCACCAUUUUCCUUCCCCCUGCCACAUCCCAAGCACCUAGGCCAUUUUCCUGGAGGAGUGGACAGAGAAAGGGCUGGGGCAGAAUGCAUUAUACUCUGGUUAUUUCUUACAGCCUAAGGUCAUCCCAACCCUCCCUUUACUUUUGCCUCAGGGCAGUCUGUAGAGUCUAAGGUGGCUCUGAGGAUCAAAUGAGUCCCACCUAUAGUCCCUUCACAUCCUGAGAACUCUAGGCCAGAGGCCCCCCAGAGUUGUCCCCGGAGACAGGGCUCAGCAUCAUGUCUUCGUCCUCCUCCAGCUGGCACUGAGUCCAGUGGUUUGUUAAUCUAACUGCCACCCCAAAGCUUGGUGACCAAAAACAAGCCUGUGUCUAUCAUCACCUCUCAUGUUCCUGUGGAUGCACUGGGCCCAGCUGGGCAGUACCCACUCCAGGUCCCAGAUGGGACUUCAGUCAGAUGUCCUCUGGGGCUGAAGUCAUCUGAAGGUCUGACUGCUGGGACAGCCCAGAUGGCUCCCUCACGUGCCUGGGCUGUCAUCCAUGGGAGCACCCACACGUGGCCUCUCCACGUGGUCUGGCCAUCUCAUAGCCUGGCCACUGGCUUCCUAGAGGGCACAUCACAUCCAAGGAAGCCAGGCAGAACCUGCAAGGCUUCUUACGGCCUCCUCUUGGAAGUCUUGGUACAUCACUUUCAUUGCAUUCUGUUGGUCAAGCAGGCCCAAGCUCAGCCCAGAUCCAAAGCAAGCAGGAUAGGAGUCCACCUCCAGAUGGGAAGUGGGUAAAGUCACAGAAGAGCAUACUGCAUGGAGAUACUAUGGCAGGCAUCUUUGGAAAAGACAACAUUUUGCGCCCAUCAGUCUAUUCUUCCCAGGCAAAGAACUUGUGCUAAAGGGGUAGGGGGAAUGAGCCCUGUCCCAGGGGUCAGACAGAUCUGGGCCUUACUGGCAGCCCAUCCAGGGGCCAGCCAGUAGUCACCGACAGUGCCAAGCAGCAGGUCUUUCCCAACUAGCUCUGAGUGUUUCCCCUCUUGCAUCAGGGGUAGUUGUAAAGCUGAAAUGAGGUCACCUGCUUCUUCAUUCUAGUCUAACAGCUGUUCAUCAAGCACCUGGUUUAUUCAUUCAUUCAACCACCAUUUGCUAAGACCACUCAGAGAGGAAGUCAGUAUGGCCAGGGUUUGAUGGAAGACAGGCGCUUGCUCAGAUGACUACAAAACACUGCCCAACGCAGCAGACCCAGGUUCCAGGCCCUGCUCCAGGCUCUUUUACAAUCACCAAUCUAUUAAACUUUAUGACAACUGUAUAAUCUAGGUAAGAUGAUUAUCCCCAUCUUACAGAUGAGAACACUGAGGCACAGAGAGGGAAAGUUAUUUGCCCAAAGUUACCAGGCAGAGACAAGGCAGAGCUGAGAGCCAACCCGGGUGUCUGGCUCUAUAGUCUGUCUGUUUCGCCGCAGGCUUGCUCUGCUUUGCCAUAAUCCAGCUGAGAGACACGGCAGUGCCUCAGCAAGGGGAUGGGAGGGGCAGGGCAGGUGUUUCCUGUCCACCACCGAGUCCCCAAGGGCUGACCCAGAGCCUGGUAGGAAAUAGGUGCUCAGUGACCACAUGUGGGCAGAGCACGAGCAAAAGGAAGGAACCCCACAGCCCAUGCUGAAUCUCCACAUCGCAAGGAUUACAGGCCUUCUUUCACAGGGCAUCCUGACCAUCAUAUCCCCCACCAGCCCAGCCCACCAGGCACUGGAGAUGCUGAUUGAGAAAUAAGGUGCGGAGCUGGCCCACAGACUGACAGGCAAGACCCCUCAGAGACUUGGGCAGACAGAUGCAGGCUCAUUUUGCACUGUCUGCCGCAGUGUCCGGGGACUCCAGGGACCCAGAACUAAGUGGCACCUCCUCCACAGGGAGUCCCAGCCCCUUCCUCCACCGCUGCACCCACCUCUGUCCCCUCCCAUCCCCUGCAGAGAGUGUUAACAAAAGCACUGAAAUGAAGCCCGUUUAGGGUUUAGGGCUUAGAAAGAGUCCCCUGCUGGAAGGAUGUCUGCAGUCGAGCUGAGGAGGCAUCACUCUGCAGCACACGCUGAGGGUCUGCUGGGAAUUUCCUGAGGGGCUGGUGCCGAGAGAAGCAAAACGGAUGCUCAGGAGGGACAAGAUGCACUUCAUAAAUAGUUAGCGCCAUCCAGGUAUAGAGACAGGCUCUCCCUGGAGCCAGGAAUUAGAGGCGCCUGACUUGUCUCAUGAAAUCCUCAGUAACUGUGCUGUCCAUCAGGGCUCCAGCAAGAGCCCAGCUCUCUGGCUCCAGCUCUCCUGUCUUCCUUCUUGCAAGACGUGCCAGUGGGGAAAGAC